UACGUAGGGACCGAGCGUUGUCCGGAAUCAUUGGGCGUAAAGAGCGUGUAGGCGGCCAACUAAGUCCUGCGUGAAAUCUCGGGGCUCAACCCCGAGCGGUCGUGGGAAACUGGUUGGCUAGAGUGCGGGAGAGGAGAGUGGAAUUCCUGGUGUAGCGGUGAAAUGCGUAGAUAUCGGGAGGAACACCUGUGGCGAAAGCGGCGCACUGGACCAUAACUGACGCUGAGGCGCGAAAGCUAGGGGGGCAAACAGG
rnacentral:rRNA from 1 species